ACUCUGAUCCAGCCAUGCCGCGUGCAGGAAGACUGCCCUAUGGGUUGUAAACUGCUUUUAUACGGGAAGAACCACAUCUACGUGUAGGUGCUUGACGAAAAAAUAUGAAUAAGGAUCGGCUAACUCCGUGCCAGCAGCCGCGGUAAUACGGAGGAUCCAAGCGUUAUCUGGAAUCAUUGGGUUUAAAGGGUCCGUAGGCGGGUUUAUAAGUCAGUGGUGAAAGUCCGUCGCUUAACUGUAGAAUUGCCAUUGAUACUGUAGACCUUGAAUUAUUAUGAAGUGGUUGGAAUGAGUAGUGUAGCGGUGAAAUGCAUAGAUAUUACUCAGAACACCGAUUGCGAAGGCAGAUCACUAAUACUAUAUUGACGCUGAUGGACGAAAGCGUAGGUAGCGAACAGGAUUAGAUACCCUGGUAGUCUACGCCGUAAACGAUGGUCACUAGCUGUCCGGCCUAAUUGAGGGCUGGGUGGCCAAGCGAAAGUGAUAAGUGACCCACCUGG
rnacentral:rRNA from 1 species